rnacentral:misc_RNA from 1 species
GAUGAAGAACGUAGCGAAAUGCGAUACGUAAUGUGAAUUGCAGAAUUCAGUGAAUCAUCGAGUCUUUGAACGCACAUUGCGCCCCCUGGUAUUCCGGGGGGCAUGCCUGUCCGAGCGUCAUUGCUGCCCUCAAGCACGGCUUGUGUGUUGGGCCUCCGUCCUCCUCCCGGGGGACGGGCCCGAAAGGCAGCGGCGGCACCGCGUCCGGUCCUCGAGCGUAUGGGGCUUCGUCACCCGCUCUUGUAGGCCCGGCCGGCGCUUGCCGACACAUCAAUCUUUUUUCCAGGUUGACCUCGGAUCAGGUAGGGAUACCCGCUGAACUUAAGCAUAUAAAUAAGCGGAGGA